GGGCCUAUAGCUUAGUUUGGUGGAGCUCCCGGCUCAUAACCGGGCGGUCAGGGGUUCAAAUCCCCUUAGGCCCA
rnacentral:tRNA from 1 species